UACGGAGGGAGCUAGCGUUGUUCGGAAUUACUGGGCGUAAAGCGCGCGUAGGCGGCUUUGUAAGUUAGAGGUGAAAGCCCGGAGCUCAACUCCGGAACUGCCUUUAAAACUGCAUCGCUUGAAUCCAGGAGAGGUGAGUGGAAUUCCGAGUGUAGAGGUGAAAUUCGUAGAUAUUCGGAAGAACACCAGUGGCGAAGGCGACUCACUGGACACGUAUUGACGCUGAGGUGCGAAAGCGUGGGGAGCAAACAGG
rnacentral:rRNA from 1 species